GAAUUAUUGGUCAAACUGCUUUAAAUGGGAAGUACCAAUGGAUUCAAGCUGAUGGGCCAAGUGGGGAAUGGAAUUCUUUCAGAUCUACUGAAAAUAAACACACAUUUCAGGAUGAUUCUGAGGUUUGCUAUCAGUUUUCCUCUGGAAUAAAGACCAUUGUGGUAGUACCGGUUGAACCACGAG